UGGGCAACCUGCCCUGCACUCUGGGAUAACUUCGGGAAACCGGAGCUAAUACCGGAUAACAUCCUCCUCCGCAUGGUGGGGGGUUGAAAGUUCCGGCGGCUAGGGAUGGGCCCGCGGCCUAUCAGCUUGUUGGUGAGGUAACGGCCCACCAAGGCGACGACGGGUAGCCGGCCUGAGAGGGCGACCGGCCACACUGGGACUGAGACACGGCCCAGACUCCGUACGGGAGGCA
rnacentral:rRNA from 1 species